rfam:Candida auris strain 6684 Scaffold28, whole genome shotgun sequence.
AGGUUAUUAGAUUAGAGGUGAAAUCACAGAUCUUACACAUCUGAGCCGUAGGUUCAAUUCCUACAUAACCUA